AGGCACUUAGUUUAAGAAAAACACUUGAUUUCGGCUCAAAAACCUGCAGUUAGAAUCUGUAAGUACCUA
rnacentral:tRNA from 1 species